AUUGAACGCUAGCGGGAUGCCUUACACAUGCAAGUCGAACGGAGUGGCCAACGGGUGAGUAAUGUAUCGAAACGUGCCCACUAGCGGGGGAUAACUACGCGCAAGCGUAGCUAAUACCGCAUAUUCUCGGUGCGGCCGAUAUGGGAUUAGCUAGUUGGUGGGGUAACGGCUCACCAAGGCGACGAUCCGUAGCUGGUUUGAGAGGACGACCAGCCACACUGGGACUGAGACACGGUCCAGAAUCCUACGGGAGGCAGCAGUGGGGAAUUUUGGACAAUGGGCGAAACCCUGAUCCAGCCAUCCCGCGUGUGCGAUGAAGGCCUUAGGGUUGUAAAGCACUUUUGGCAGGAAAGCGGUACCUGCAGAAUAAGCACCGGCUAACUACGUGCCAGCAGCCGCGGUAAUUC
rnacentral:rRNA from 1 species